CGAGAGGUUUGCUGGAGGUAUCAGAAGUGCGAAUGCUGACAUGAGUAACGAUAAUGGGGGUGAAAAACCCCCACGCCGAAAACCCAAGGUUUCCUGCGCAAUGCUAAUCAGCGCAGGGUUAGUCGGAACCUAAGGCGAGGCCGAAAGGCGUAGUCGAUGGACAACAGGUUAAUAUUCCUGUACCGCGUAUAACUGCGAUGGGGAGACGGAGAAGGCUAGAUCAGCAUACUGUUGGAUAUGUAUGUUUAAGCAUGUAGGGCGAGUUCUUAGGUAAAUCCGGGAGCUCAUUAAACCUGAGAUGUGAUGUCGAGGACUCUACGGAGUCCGGAGUGAUUGAUGCCAUGCUUCCAAGAAAAUCCUCUAAGCUUCAGGUUAUAGGCGUCCGUACCCCAAACCGACACAGGUGGGUGGGAUGAGAAUUCUAAGGCGCUUGAGAGAACUCUGGUGAAGGAACUAGGCAAAAUGGUACCGUAACUUCGGGAGAAGGUACGCCCUCUAGGUGACGCGACUUGCUCGUUGAGCUCAAGAGGGUUGCAAUAAAAUGGUGGCUGCGACUGUUUACUAAAAACAUAGCACUCUGCAAACUCGUAAGAGGAAGUAUAGGGUGUGACGCCUGCCCGGUGCCGGAAGGUUAAUUGAUGGGGUUAUCUUCGGAGAAGCUCUUGAUCGAAGCCCCGGUAAACGGCGGCCGUAACUAUAACGGUCCUAAGGUAGCGAAAUUCCUUGUCGGGUAAGUUCCGACCUGCACGAAUGGCGUAACGACGGCCACACUGUCUCCACCAGAGACUCAGUGAAAUUGAAAUAGCUGUUAAGAUGCAGUUUACCCGCGGCUAGACGGAAAGACCCCGUGAACCUUUACUAUAGCUUUGCACUGAACUUUGAACCUAUUUGUGUAGGAUAGGUGGGAGACUUUGAAGCAGGAACGCCAGUUCUUGUGGAGUCAUCCUUGAAAUACCACCCUGGUAUGUUUGGAGUUCUAACCCAGGUCCGUUAUCCGGAUCGGGGACAGUGUAUGGUGGGUAGUUUGACUGGGGCGGUCUCCUCCCAAAGAGUAACGGAGGAGCACGAAGGUACCCUAAGGACGGUCGGAAAUCGUCCGCUUAGUGCAAUGGCAUAAGGGUGCUUGACUGCGAGAUAGACACAUCGAGCAGGUACGAAAGUAGGUCAUAGUGAUCCGGUGGUUCUGUAUGGAAGGGCCAUCGCUCAACGGAUAAAAGGUACUCCGGGGAUAACAGGCUGAUACCGCCCAAGAGUUCAUAUCGACGGCGGUGUUUGGCACCUCGAUGUCGGCUCAUCACAUCCUGGGGCUGUAGCCGGUCCCAAGGGUAUGGCUGUUCGCCAUUUAAAGUGGUACGCGAGCUGGGUUUAGAACGUCGUGAGACAGUUCGGUCCCUAUCUGCCGUGGGCGUUUGAGAAUUGAGGAAAGCUGCUUCUAGUACGAGAGGACCGAAGUGGACGAACCUCUGGUGUUCCGGUUGUCACGCCAGUGGCAUUGCCGGGUAGCUACGUUCGGACGGGAUAAGCGCUGAAAGCAUCUAAGCGCGAAGCCUCUUCCAAGAUUAAUUCUCACUGAUUCUUUAAGAAUCCUGAAGGGCCCUUGAAGACUACAAGGUUGAUAGGCAUGGUGUGGAAGCGCAGUAAUGUGUGAAGCUAACAUGUACUAAUUGCCCGUGAGGCUUGACCAU
rnacentral:rRNA from 1 species